CCUACGGGGGGCAGCAGUGAGGAAUAUUGGUCAAUGGGCUUACGCCUGAACCAGCCAAGUCGCGUGAGGGAAGACUGCCCUAUGGGUUGUAAACCUCUUUUGUCAGGGAGCAACGCCGGCUACGUGUAGCCGGACUGAGAGUACCUGAAGAAAAAGCAUCGGCUAACUCCGUGCCAGCAGCCGCGGUAAUACGUAGGGGGCAAGCGUUAUCCGGAAUUACUGGGUGUAAAGGGAGCGUAGACGGUGAUGCAAGUCUGGAGUGAAAGGCGGGGGCCCAACCCCCGGACUGCUCUGGAAACUGGGUAACUUGAGUGCAGGAGAGGUAAGCGGAAUUCCUAGUGUAGCGGUGAAAUGCGUAGAUAUUAGGAGGAACACCAGUGGCGAAGGCGGCUUACUGGACUGUAACUGACGUUGAGGCUCGAAAGCGUGGGGAGCAAACAGGAUUAGAUACCCCAGUAGUC
rnacentral:rRNA from 1 species